CUAAAUAAGUUGUAAAAAAGUUCACACUUGAUUUUUCUAUUUUUCUUUUUUUUCUUUUGUGCUCUCCCUACAUGCUGAAAAUAAUAACCAAGUCCUCCAUAAAAGAGGGAAAUUCUUGGGGUACUAAGUGGAUUACCAGAAAGGUACUGCAACUACUGGAUAGAUGGUGAGUUAAUAACUGUACACGUACUGUACAUCCUUUGAUAUGUGACUUAUUGUAUCUCCAUUAUUU
rnacentral:lncRNA from 1 species